GCGGUUGUGAAGAGGAUGCUGUGGAGGUGGCAGCAUGAACGUGUCACACAGACAUUGGCUAAACUACUCGAUGACAUUUCCAGCAUGUCCAACUCAUCAGCAUCAGGGGAGAUUCGGUGGAGGUGGUGCACCAUCCAGGACCAGUCAUGGGCCACCAAAACCUCUGCAAAAUCUACACUUCUUGUGAACCCUGUAGAAGACACUACAACCACAAAACUGCUAAUAAACCAUCACAUACUGCGUCACA